rnacentral:lncRNA from 1 species
AGAAAAUUUUCAUCACAUGUUUUGUAAGUAUAUUAUUAAAUGUACUAUAAUAGAAUAUAUUUUCUGCUUUAAAAGUAUCGCUCAAUUGAUAAUUUAGUCAAGUUGUAAAGCCACUUUUAAAUUACCUUUUACUUAUAUGGCGAAAUGGUAUUGUACAGGUUUGUAACAAAGACAAAAAACAGCACUGCUUAUAUAUAUAGCUUUUCCCAUCACUUGGCGUCCGUCGUCGUCGUCGUCCGUCGUCUGUCGUCCGUCGUCGUUAACUUUUACAAAAAUCUUCUCCUCUGAAACUACUGGGCCAAAUUAAACCAAACUUGGCCACAAUCAUCAUUGGGGUAUCUAGUUUAAAAAAUGUGUGGCGUGACCCGGCCAACCAACCAAGAUGGCCGCCAUGGCUAAAAUAGAACAUAGGGGUAAAAUGCAGUUUUUGGCUUAUAACUCAAAAACCGAAAAAUUUAGAGCAAAUCUGACAUGCGGUAAAAGUGUUUAUCAGGUCAAGAUCUAUCUGCCCUCAAAUUUUCAGAUGAAUCCGACAACCCGUUAUUGGGUUGCUGCCCCUGAACUGGUAAUUUUAGGGAAUUUUUUCUGUUUUUGGCUAUUAUCUUGAAUAUUAUUAUAAAUAGAGAAAAACUGUAAACAGCAAUAAUGUUCAGCAAAGUAAGAUCUACAAAUAAGUCAACAUGACCAAAAUGGUCAGUUGACCCCUUUAGGAGUUAUUGACCUUUAUAGUCAAUUUUUAACCAUUUUUCGUAAAUCUUAGUAAUCUUUUACAAAAAUCUUCUCCUCUGAAACUACUGGGCCAAAUUAAUCCAAACUUGGCCAAAAUCAUCUUUGGGAUAUAUAGUUUUAAAAAUGUGUGGUGUGACCCGGCCAACCAACCAAGAUGGCUGCCAUGGCUAAAAGUAGAACAUAGGGGUAAAAUGCAGUUUUUGGCUUAUAACUCAAAAACCAAAGCAUUUAGAGCAAAUCUGACAGCGAUAAAAGUGUUUAUCAGGUCAAGAUCUACCUGUCCUGAAAUUUUCAGAUGAAUCGGAUAACCUGUUAUUGGGUUGCUGCCCUGAAUUGGUAAUUUUAAGGAAAUUUUGCUGUUUUUGGUUAUUAUCUUGAAUAUUAUUAUAGAUAGAGAUAAACGAUAAACAGCAAUAAUGUUCAGCAAAGUAAGAUUUACAAAUAAGUCAGCAUGACCAAAAUGGUCAGUUGACCCCUGAAGGAGUUAUUGCCCUUUAUAGUCAAUUUUUAACCAUUUUUUCAUAAAUCUUAGUAAUCUUUUACAAAAAUCUUCUUCUCUGAAACUACUGGGCCAAAUUAAACUAAGCUUUGCCACAAUCAUCAUUGGGGUAAUUUGUUUAAAAAAUGUGUGGCGUGACCUGGCCAAUCAAUCAAAAUGGCUGCCACGGCUAAUAAUAGAACAUAGGGGUAAAAUGCAGUUUUUGGCUUAUAACUCAAAAACCGAAGCAUUAAGAGAAAAUCUGACAGGGUUUAAUUGUUUAUCAGGUAAAGAUCUAUCUGCCCUGAUGUUUUCACAUGGAUCGGACAACCCGUUGUUAGGUUACUGUCCUGAAUUGGUAAUUUUAAGGAAAUUUUGCCGUUUUGUGUUAUUAUCUUGAAUAUUAUUAUAGAUAGAGAUAAACUGUAUACAGCAAUAACGUUCAGCAAAAUAAGAUCUACAAAUAAGUUUUCAUGACCAAAAUAGUCAAUUGACCCCUUAAGGAGUUAUUGCCCUUUAUCAUGUUUUAUAGUUAAUUUUUAACAUUUUUCAUAAAUUUCUGUAAUUUUGUAGAAAAUAUUUUCCACUGUAAUUACUGGGCCAAGUUCAUUAUAGACAGAGAUAUUUGUAGCAACAAGAAUGUUCAGUAAAGUAAGAUCUACAAACACAUCACUAUCACCAAAACACAAUUAUGUCAUGAAUUUAUCCGUGUCCAUUAUUUAAUAUGCACAAGACCAAGGUGAGCGACACAGGCUCUUUAGAGCCUCUAGUUUACUUAUGUCAACUUUCCCAUGUUAAAGGUAGUUGACCAAAAAAAAAAUCCCCAAAGGCAGUUCAAAUUUUCUGAAGUUUUUGGACCACUUGAUUUGUAAAUGAUACACAUCACAUUUAAGGAAAAAAAGAAUUAUCCUUAUUGUCAUAUAGAUGUUAUAGAUGUAUGAUGUAAUUAGUGUCAGUAUUUAAGUCUCAUAUUUAAUAGAAAGUGAAUAUAUGUAACUGUUUUAUGUUGAUAAUAAAGUUGUGCACUUAGAGAAGAAUACAUAUCAUAGAUACCAGGAUUGAAAUUGUAUAUCUACACCAGACAUGCGUUUCGUCUACAAAAACUCAUCAGUGAUGCUCGAAUAAAAAAAUGUUAAAAAGGCCAAAUAGAGUACAAAGAUGAAGAGCAUUGAGGACCAAAAAUUCCUAAAAGUUUUGCCAAAUACAGCUAAGGUAAUCUAUUCCUGAGGUAGAAAAGCCUCAGUAUUUAAAAAAAAUUAAAGGUUAAGUUAACAGUUAAUUUAUAAUCAUGAGCAUAUCAAUGAAAACUUGAGUCAACACAGAAGUGCUGACUACUGGGCUGGUGAUACCCUCGGGGAAUUAAACUCCACCAGUAGUGGCAUCCACACAGUGGUUGUAAACAAACUCAUCAUAGAUACCAGGAUUGAAAUUGUAUAUUUACGCCAGACACACGUUUUGUCUACAAAAGACUCAUCAGUGACGCUCUAAUAAAGAAAUGUUAAAAAGGCCAAAUAGAGUACAAAGAUAAAGAGCAUUGAGGACCAAAAAUUCCUAAAAGUUUUGCCAAAUACAGCUAAGGUAAUCUAUUCCUGAGGUAGAAAAGCCUCAGUAUUUAAAAAAAUUCAAGGUUAGUUAACAGUUAAUUUAUAAUCAUGAGCAUAUCAAUGAAAACUUGAGUCAACACAGAAGUGCUGACUAUUGGGCUGGUGAUACCCUCGGGGAAUUAAACUCCACCAGCAGUGGCAUCCACCCAGUGGUUGUAAACAAACUCAUCAUAGAUACCAGGAUUGAAAUUGUAUAUGUACGCCAGACACACGUUUUGUCUACAAAAGACUAAUCAGUGACGCUCUAAUAAAAAAAUGUUAAAAAGGCCAAACAGAGUACAAAGAUGAAGAGCAUAUUGAGGACCAAAAAUUCCCUAAAAAUUUGCCAAAUACAGCUAAGGUAAUCUAUUCCAGAGGAAGAAAAGCCUCAGUAUUUAAAAAAAAUUCAAGGUUUAGUUAACAGUUAAUUUAUAAUCAUGAGCAUAUCAAUGAAAACUUGAGUCAACACAGAAGUGCUGACUAUUGGGCUGGUGAUACCCUCGGGGAAUUAAACUCUACCAGCAAUGGCAUCCACCCAGUGGUUGUAAAAAAACUCAUCAUAGAUACCAGGAUUGAAAUUGUAUAUUUACGCCAGACACCUGUUUUGUCUACAAAAGACUCAUCAGUGACGCUCUAAUAAAAAAAUGUUAAAAAGGCCAAAUAGAGUACAAAGAUGAAGAGCAUUGUGGACCAAAAAUUCCUAAAACUUUUGCCAAAUACAGCUAAGGUAAUCUAUUCCAGAGGUAGAAAAGCCUUAGUAUUUAAAAAAAAUUUAAGGUUUAGUUAACAGUUAAUUUAUAAUCAUGAGCAUAUCAAUAUUAAAUAACGCAAGUCAACACAGAAGUGGUGACUUACUGGACUGGUGAUAUUCUAUUUCUUAUAGUGUGUCAGUGUAUAUUUACAGUCCAGUCCUAUCCACCAGAGCGAGUAGUGUAUUUAAUUCUUAAUGUAUACCUGAUAGCUACAGGCAGGGGUUUUACCGUUGUAUAUACUGAUUUCUUAUUCUCUCUGUUUUAAGCUGUGUUGUCACAGUUAAAGAUUCCAUGUUUAGAUGGCGAUAGGAAGGAAGCAAAGCAGGUAUAUCAAGACAACUUAUCAGUUUACACUACAAACUUACUGGGUAGACCACUGGAAAAAAUUCAGGUACUUAUAUACUGUGAACCAACUUUUUGUCGUGGAUACUUUAUUUUGUGUAAAGCCCUUUUUAGUCCGAUUUGAUAUCAUGAUAUUCAAAUUUACUUGAUGUAGUUAAAUAAGGAAACAACACCCACAAAUAUUUACAUUUGAAAUAGGUAUCGGGUGUUGGGUCAAAUUUAUAAAUUUCCAAUGAUAGGGCCAAUGUUUACAUAAUUAUGAAAUGAACGACUUAAGUUAUGAACAGCAAUCAGGAGAAUGUAAAUUAUAUCUUGUCAAUAUAUCCAGGGAUACUGUUUUGUACUUAAAAUACUAGGAUGAACAACACUUAUUUUAAAUUUAUUGGCACUUUUGUUCUUAAUUAAAAGAUAACUGUCUUGUUUACCUUCAUCUAUUGAUGCUCAACUAAAUUCAUGUAUGAAAAUGUUAAAUAUAUAGAUAUGAAAUAGGAUUAAUUGAUAGUUAUCUUUCAGAUAAUCAUUUUUAAUUAAAAAUAAAAGAUUUAGGUGAAUUGAGAAAUAAAAAUUGAAUACAAAGGAGUAGGGCUAUAAUGGCCUAAAAUGGCCCCAGAUUUACAAGAUAAUAAAAAUUCGAACAGAGCAGAUUUUUCUCCAUAAAUUAUUAGAAUAUGAGUCAAUGAUUUAAAAAAAAUGUUUUUAUCUAACAAAAAAAUGUUCAAUGACGUCACAAUGGUAGGUGCAAAUGACGUCAUAAUUGAGAAAAUAAGCAAAAAUACAGAAAUUUGGAUGGUUUUUCCAAAUUUUGACCACCGCACCAUGCUUGCACCAAUUAGAAAUUUUAACAUUUUGACAAGUUCAUACAUAUCAAACUUCAGAUAAAAUAUUUUUUUGGUGCAAGGUUGGUGCGAUAGUUUAUUUUAUAUUUUUCAUACCCAAUCGGAGCAAUAAAAAGCUUAAAUAUGCCGUUCAAAUUGGACAUAUUCAUCUGACAAAGUUUAGUUUAUACAUUCUUAUGCCUAUAGGAACUUUAUUUUUUUGGUUAUGAAUGUAACAUGUAUUCCUAAUAUUAUUUCCAUAAGUAUAUCUCGGUAAAUGUCUUUAAAAAAUCCGAAAGCAAUAAACUACACGUGUAAGGGAGUCAAUAACAACUUUGAGAACAUUUUUUUUUAAUUGUGAAAUUUUAGAUAUAGACCAAUAUAUAACAACAUCUGUACAUUUCUUAUGUUUCUGCUUAUUAUCAAUUCAAAAUCUAAUGUUUGAAUGGGGCAAUCUUCACUCUCUGUUAUUAGGGUCGGAUCCAUGAUUUAUGUUAGGAAAAGGGGGGGGGGGGCAAAUUAAAAAGAUUAUUAUGCUUAAAUUCACAUAAUUGGCAAGAAAUACGAAAUUUAUUUUGAAAAUGAAACUACCUAUAUUCCAAUUGCAUGUGUCUUUGUUAGUAAUGCGCAUAAAGUUCUAGAAAAUUUGAUGGUAAGAGAACAGAAACGGCAUAUGGUAGACUAUGAAUUUUUACACAUAUCAAUAUUUUGCAGGUAUUUUUUGAAGGAGUAGAAAGUAAAAUUGCCUCAGGUGUCAAACCUGAAGAAGUCGGAUACCAGUUAGCAUUCAGUAAACAGGAACUAAGAAAAGUUAUCAAGGAAUAUUCUGGAAAAGAGGUAAGGAGACGAGUCAGGAAAUAGAAAUUAUUCUUGAAAUUAUAAAGUGAUAUGAUAACUGUAGUAAAAGUAGCAAUAUUCCUCAACCUCAUCUUCAAUACAGAAUUAUAUUUCUAGCUUAAGAAGUUUUUGCAUGUUAUUCUUUAAACAAUGUAGAUAGCAGAAAGUCAAGAUGUCUGUAGGUAUACUGUUUGGAUUAUAAAUAUGAGAAAAUUGUUUUAAAGGCAAAACUGAAUAUCAAGUUGUGUCCAAAUCUUAUUACAGGUAUCUAGGACUAGUUUAAACUAACUAUUUUAAAUUUAAAAAUAUCUAGAAAUCCGGAAUAUACCAGUCAAUCAUCGGUUUGAGAUUUAAUAAAACAGUCUAUAGUUAUCAUACGCAUAUGGAGUUAAAAAUGCUUACUGUACACACCUAAAGACAGUAAUCCAUGACAUUAGUCUUUAGAUAAAAGGUUGAGGUUUAGUACAUAUGAAAUUGCUUGUAAUUUCUUAGAGGGUGUUUGAAUUUAAACAUUAAUUUACAGAUACAAAUUAUUUUCUAGGUGAAGAAAGGCUUGGACCAUGUUUACAAAAAAGUAGAAAAACAUUUGUGUGAAGAAGAAAAUUUGUUACAGGUAACAGAUAGAUAGUUAAUAAAGGCAACAGUAGUGUACCGAUGUUCAAAAGUCAUAAAUCAAUUUAGAAGAAAAAAAUCUGGGUUACAAACCAAAACAGAGAGAAAUUUUAAAAUUCAGAUAUUCAAUACACUGGUAAUAAAGGGGCACUAUAUACGAGAUACAUAAAGAAUUUAAAUUAUGAUGUGUUUUGGUUCAAUCAUUAAUGAAAGUAAACUAGUGAAAUGAUAAUUUGCUUGUAGCAGCCAGUAUGAUUCAAUUUUUUUCCAAAUAAGCUAGAAAACAUUGAUGAUUAAUUAUUCACUUGCCAGUGAAUAAUUUGACCUCAUUGAAUCCGUAUUCAUGUCAACUUCAACUUUAGUUAGAGAUGGAUUACACAUGAUUUAUACGUGUUCGAUUAUUAUAAAAGAAAAGAAUUUCAACAUUGAAAGGGAAACAAAGCUAAAUAAUUAGAUUGACUGAUUUGAUCCACUAAAAAUUCAUUCUUUACUGAGAAAAUAGAAAAUUAACUUAUUUUUUAACCUAUAAUGUGAAUUCAAACAGGCAUAGGAAAAUCCAUUUGCAUGAGGUCCAUAUCUAUUUAUGAAUAUGUUUUUGUUUCUAUCGUGUUAUGUGACUAUUGGUAGUUUUCGGGUGAUCUUGAUAUUAAAUAAGAUUGCGUCUAGACUGAAAUACACACGAAAUUCUGAUAUAUAUAUUAUCUAACAUAUGCAUAGUUUACUGUUUAUUUAAGACUUAUUAUAAUAUGGAUAUGUGUUUUAGUAUGGCAUUAAUCAAAUAUGAAAAUUUGAAUGAAAUGGGUGAACAUGAUUUUGACAGCUAGUGCCUUAAUAAGACUGACAAGGCAACAAAAGGGUGAAAUCCAUGACAAAUUAACUUAUUAACAAAAUUAAUACCUUAUUGGUGACUAAAAAUGGUAAAAAACAAGGAUGAGAUAAAAAUUCACAAAAAGUUUUCUUUACAUAAUAAAUUUUUGUUGAAUAUAAGUAAAUAAAUGUAAGGUUGGCAAAGCAACAAAGACAAUCACAAAAAUCACAAAAACAUUCAAAAAUAUUUUAAAGAAAUAGUAAAAUACAUUGUAAUUAUAGGUCUUAUGUAUAAAGAUUGUCAAGGCAAAUAAUAGGGAGAACUAUGACAAUUGAUUAAUUAACAAAACACAAAUAAUCUGUAAAGAAAUAAAAAAAAAAACCAAUGGCUAUGACAUUUAAAAAUCUUAACUGCAGAAGGAGUAAGAAAAGUGAUUAGAAGCCAAACAUGCAAAUCAAAUGAGGAGGGAACAAAACAAUCAUUAGGAAUGUGGAAUACAAAUUCUUUUGUUUAUUCAACCUGCUUAUAAUAUUCACCUCUUUUAUGAAUUAUAUCAAAUAUUCACAACAAAUUUAAGAUCUUCAAGAACAAAUAGGACAGAACAUUAUUUAUACAUAGAAAACAGCACUAAAAAGCUUAGGCAACACAGGGUCAUGACAAAACCUAGGUAUAAGUUUUAAAUAUAUUUAUGGUUUAACUCUUAAUGAGGGAUGGUGAAUCACAUUGGAUAGAACAUAUUGUAAAAUAUUAUGAUAAUAUAACAUAUUAUCUAACAUAAAUGGUGUGAUAAUAUAGCCAGUGCGACAGAUGUUAACCAAUGACCAAAAGAUUUUAAAUGAUGUAUUUUUGUUUUUGGUCCUUUCGACCAGUAUACAUAGUUUAAUAAAAAAUAAAAAUUUUCUGUUUCUACAUAUAUCAAUGCAGAGAUAGUCACCUUUUUUAUAUAAAUUCUAAUGAAAUGAGUAGAUUUAGACACUAUCUAUUCAGGCGUAUGUUUAACUUUCUCAAUUGGCUCAAUAUUUAGAAUUCCAGUCCAAUUUGUUUUGUGAACAAGGUUUCAAAGGGUCUUUUUUCUUUUCUGAAAUGAUUACAAAUUCUAAGUUUAUUUAAGUUUCAUUUGGAAAUGUUAAAAAUGCCAUAUGAAUCCUCACAUAUAAAUCUUUUUUCUAUUGUAGGUAGUAUGGUUUUCAAUGCAGGAGGAGUUUAUCAAACAAAUCAAACAUUAUGAGGACCUUAUAAAUAAAUGUUAUCCAGAUUCUGGUAUAUCAUUAUCAUUUAGUGUUACUGAUGUUCUUCAAUUCUUCUCUGAAAUAGCUCAGGCCCACUGAGAGGUCAGUUACAGAGAAAUACAAAGGCAAGAGAUUCAAAGACUGAGAGAGUAUGGACAUUUAUAUAAAUAAGUGCUUUAAAUCGUUUCUUAUAGUUUGCCUUCAUGCAUCUGAUAAAACAGUUGUUAUAAUAUGUGAGGGA